rnacentral:rRNA from 1 species
GGAGUGCUUGCACUCGCUGACGACCGGCGCACGGGUGCGUAACGCGUAUAGAACCUAACCUUUUUUACAGAGGAUAGCCUUUAGAAAUGAAGAUUAANACCUCAUAGUAUUGAGAGUUGGCAUCAACUUUAAUUAAAGAUUUAUCGGUAAAAGAUGGCUAUGCGUCCUAUUAGCUAGAUGGUAAGGUAACGGCUUACCAUGGCUAUGAUAGGUAGGGGUCCUGAGAGGGAGAUCCCCCACACUGGUACUGAGACACGGACCAGACUCCUACGGGAGGCAGCAGUGAGGAAUAUUGGACAAUGGGUGAGAGCCUGAUCCAGCCAUGCCGCGUGCAGGAAGACUGCCCUAUGGGUUGUAAACUGCUUUUAUACAGGAAGAAACACUCGGACGUGUCCGAGCUUGACGGUACUGUAAGAAUAAGCACCGGCUAACUCCGUG